ACAGAGGGUGCGAGCGUUAAUCGGAAUUACUGGGCGUAAAGCGUGCGUAGACGGUUAUUUAAGUCGGAUGUGAAAGCCCUGGGCUCAACCUGGGAACGGCAUUGGAUACUGGCUUACUAGAGUGCGGUAGAGGGUAGUGGAAUUCCCGGUGUAGCAGUGAAAUGCGUAGAUAUCGGGAGGAACAUCUGUGGCGAAGGCGACUACCUGGACCAGCACUGACACUGAGGCACGAAAGCGUGGGGAGCAAACAGGA
rnacentral:rRNA from 1 species